CCAUGUCAGUAACUCCAUUUCCUUAAAAUGACUCAUCAACCCCACAGGCAAGGAAGGCUCCAGCUCUCCAAUCAGAGAGUCUGACGUAAAUACAGCCAUGUUACUUUCACUGAAGUCACAUGUCAAAAUAAGACCAGCUUGGAAGACACACUGUUUUACUCAUGUACAUUUUAAAUGUAUUCAUUCAUAAUGAAUUAAGUUUUGAAUUCUUGAACAAUUCAAUUAGUCCUUAAGGUAAAUCAUAAAUGUCAGUUCUUCAUUAUGACUUUUUGGGGCUUGGAUAAGGACUUGCUGUUAAAAUUCUUAUUAUUGUGAUAUGUUUAUUUUUUUUAAAGCAAGUAUUUACAAAAUACAUGUGUAGAUACAUUUUAAUUGUUUUAUCAGUUUUGUGGUUAAUUCCAGGAUGCCAGAUUAUUGCAUAGAGAAUUUCAGGGGACAGAACUCCAUCAGUGAGGUCUUUGAGAGAACCGAUGAGUUCCUGAGAGAAAUCCCUAAUACACAGUUGGAAAGUAGAGUCUAGAUGAGCUUCUUUCAAGCAACGACAACAGUGCCCCAACUUUCAUGUGGAAUUUCUGUCCAUACAACAAAAAUUUGGAUCUAAUUUCCACCCAAUCAAGAUAACCUAGUCACCACUAAGAUAUCCCUAUUCUUUUAAUGCUGACCAAAUCUAUUGUGUGACGUGACUCUGGGAGCUUCAAUGCAAUGAUGCUUUAAGUUCUUCACAUUGAAGGUCUUGAGCACUUGGUUAAUGCUCUACAGUACAAAAGGGAGGCACACAUACUUACAUGAGUUACUAACCAUUACGUAAGUAAUGCACUGGUUAGUAUCAUUGCAAGAGGAAAUACAUACAUAUCCUCAGCCUCACAGAUGGGGUAAGCCCAUCCUUUUGGAGUUUAGUUACUGCUCAUAUUCUGUAAAAUGCUACUGAAAUGUCCGUAGACAGAUAGUAGAUCUUUUCUUUCCUCCUCUUUCACAGCACUGAACUCAAGUAAUAUCCAAGGGGUAUUUAUCCAGAGUUGGGAAAUGGCUUUGGGUCAUUUUAAUUCUGUGUGUGUGUGUGUGUGUGUGUGUACAUUGGUCCUGGGCCUUGGACUCAGGGCCUGAGCACUGUC